rnacentral:rRNA from 1 species
UACGUAGGGGGCAAGCGUUGUCCGGAAUCAUUGGGCGUAAAGCGCGUGUAGGCGGCCAGAUAAGUCCGCUGUGAAAUCUCGAGGCUCAACUUCGAGCUGUCGGUGGAAACUGUCUGGCUAGAGUCCGGAAGAGGAGAAUGGAAUUCCCGGUGUAGAGGUGAAAUUCGUAGAUAUCGGGAGGAACACCGGUGGCGAAGGCGGCGACCUGGGUAGAUACUGACGCUGAGGUGCGAAAGCGUGGGGAGCAAACAGG